rnacentral:rRNA from 1 species
AACGAACGCUGGCGGCAUGCCUAACACAUGCAAGUCGAACGAGACCUUCGGGUCUAGUGGCGCACGGUUGCGUAACGCGUGGGAACCUGCCCUUAGGUUCGGAAUAACUCCCCGAAAGGGGUGCUAAUACCGGAUAAUGUCUUCGGACCAAAGAUUUAUCGCCUUUGGAUGGGCCCGCGUUGGAUUAGCUAUUUGGUAGGGUAAAAGACUACCAAGGGGUGGAUUCAUACAUGGUAUCAGAGGAUGGUCAGCCACACCGAGACUGAGACACGGCCCAGACUCCUACGGGAGGCAGCAGUGGGGAAUAGUGGAACGUGGGCGAAAGCAUGAAGCAGCAAUGAUGCGUGAGUGAUGAAGGCCUUAGGGAUGUAAAGCUCUUUUAACCGGGAUGAUAAUGACAGUACCGGGAGAAUAAGCCCCGGCUAACUACGUG